GACGAACGCUGGCGGCGUGCUUAACACAUGCAAGUCGAACGAUGAAGCUAGAGCUUGCUCUGGUGGAUUAGUGGCGAACGGGUGAGUAACACGUGAGUAACCUGCCCCGAACUCUGGGAUAACUGCUGGAAACGGUAGCUAAUACUGGAUACGACCAACGAAGGCAUCUUCUGUUGGUGGAAAGAAUUUCGGUUCGGGAUGGACUCGCGGCCUAUCAGCUUGUUGGUGAGGUAACGGCUCACCAAGGCGACGACGGGUAGCCGGCCUGAGAGGGGAACCGGCCACACUGGGACGGAGACACGGCCCAGACUCCUACGGGAGGCAGCAGUGGGGAAUAUUGCACAAUGGGCGCAAGCCUGAUGCAGCAACGCCGCGUGAGGGAUGACGGCCUUCGGGUUGUAAACCUCUUUUAGCAGGGAAGAAGCGAAAGUGACGGUACCUGCAGAAAAAGCACCGGCUAACUACGUGCCAGCAGCCGCCGUAA
rnacentral:rRNA from 1 species